rnacentral:rRNA from 1 species
AUUGAACGCUGGCGGCAUGCCUUACACAUGCAAGUCGAACGGUAACGGGCCUUCGGGUGCCGACGAGUGGCGAACGGGUGAGUAAUGUAUCGGAACGUACCUUUCAGUGGGGGAUAACGUAGCGAAAGUUACGCUAAUACCGCAUAUUCUGUGAGCAGGAAAGCAGGGGAUCGCAAGACCUUGCGCUGGUUGAGCGGCCGAUAUCAGAUUAGCUAGUUGGUGAGGUAAAGGCUCACCAAGGCGACGAUCUGUAGCGGGUCUGAGAGGAUGAUCCGCCACACUGGAACUGAGACACGGUCCAGACUCCUACGGGAGGCAGCAGUGGGGAAUUUUGGACAAUGGGGGCAACCCUGAUCCAGCCAUGCCGCGUGAGUGAAGAAGGCCU